rnacentral:rRNA from 1 species
GACGAACGCUGGCGGCGUGCUUAACACAUGCAAGUCGAACGGAAAGGCCUCUUUCGGGGGGUACUCGAGUGGCGAACGGGUGAGUAACACGUGAGUAACCUGCCCUUGACUUUGGGAUAACUUCAGGAAACUGGGGCUAAUACCGGAUAGGAGCUCCUGCUGCAUGGUGGGGGUUGGAAAGUUUCGGCGGGUGGGGAUGGACUCGCGGCUUAUCAGCUUGUUGGUGGGGUAGUGGCUUACCAAGGCUUUGACGGGUAGCCGGCCUGAGAGGGUGACCGGCCACAUUGGGACUGGGAUACGGCCCAGACUCCUACGGGAGGCAGCAGUGGGGAAUAUUGCACAAUGGGUGGAAGCCUGAUGCAGCAACGCCGUGUGCGGGAUGACGGCCUUCGGGUUGUAAACCGCUUUCGCUCAUGACGAAGCUUUGUGUGACGGUAGUGGGUAAAGAAGCACCGGCUAACUACGUG